GAUGAACGCUGGCGGCGUGCCUAAUACAUGCAAGUCGAGCGAACGGACGAGAAGCUUGUUUCUCUGAUGUUAGCGGCGGACGGGUGAGUAACACGUGGAUAACCUACCUAUAAGACUGGGAUAACUUCGGGAAACCGUAGCUAAUACCGGAUAAUAUUUUGAACCGCAUGGUUCAAAAGUGAAAGACGGUCUUGCUGUCACUUAUAGAUGGAUCCGCGCUGCAUUAGCUAGUUGGUAAGGUAACGGCUUACCAAGGCAACGAUGCAUAGCCGACCUGAGAGGGUGAUCGGCCACACUGGAACUGAGACACGGUCCAGACUCCUACGGGAGGCAGCAGUAGGGAAUCUUCCGCAAUGGGCGAAAGCCUGACGGAGCAACGCCGCGUGAGUGAUGAAGGUCUUCGGAUCGUAAAACUCUGUUAUUAGGGAAGAACAUAUGUGUAAGUAACUGUGCACAUCUUGACGGUACCUAAUCAGAAAGCCGCGGCUAACUACGUG
rnacentral:rRNA from 1 species